GACGAACGCUGGCGGCGUGCCUAAUACAUGCAAGUCGAGCGGACAGAAGGGAGCUUGCUCCCGGAUGUUAGCGGCGGACGGGUGAGUAACACGUGGGUAACCUGCCUGUAAGACUGGGAUAACUCCGGGAAACCGGAGCUAAUACCGGAUAGUUCCUUGAACCGCAUGGUUCAAGGAUGAAAGACGGUUUCGGCUGUCACUUACAGAUGGACCCGCGGCGCAUUAGCUAGUUGGUGAGGUAACGGCUCACCAAGGCGACGAUGCGUAGCCGACCUGAGAGGGUGAUCGGCCACACUGGGACUGAGACACGGCCCAGACUCCUACGGGAGGCAGCAGUAGGGAAUCUUCCGCAAUGGACGAAAGUCUGACGGAGCAACGCCGCGUGAGUGAUGAAGGUUUUCGGAUCGUAAAGCUCUGUUGUUAGGGAAGAACAAGUGCAAGAGUAACUGCUUGCACCUUGACGGUACCUAACCAGAAAGCCACGGCUAACUACGUGCCAGCAGCCGCGGUAAUACGUAGGUGGCAAGCGUUGUCCGGAAUUAUUGGGCGUAAAGGGCUCGCAGGCGGUUUCUUAAGUCUGAUGUGAAAGCCCCCGGCUCAACCGGGGAGGGUCAUUGGAAACUGGGAAACUUGAGUGCAGAAGAGGAGAGUGGAAUUCCACGUGUAGCGGUGAAAUGCGUAGAGAUGUGGAGGAACACCAGUGGCGAAGGCGACUCUCUGGUCUGUAACUGACGCUGAGGAGCGAAAGCGUGGGGAGCGAACAGGAUUAGAUACCCUGGUAGUCCACGCCGUAAACGAUGAGUGCUAAGUGUUAGGGGGUUUCCGCCCCUUAGUGCUGCAGCUAACGCAUUAAGCACUCCGCCUGGGGAGUACGGUCGCAAGACUGAAACUCAAAGGAAUUGACGGGGGCCCGCACAAGCGGUGGAGCAUGUGGUUUAAUUCGAAGCAACGCGAAGAACCUUACCAGGUCUUGACAUCCUCUGACAACCCUAGAGAUAGGGCUUUCCCUUCGGGGACAGAGUGACAGGUGGUGCAUGGUUGUCGUCAGCUCGUGUCGUGAGAUGUUGGGUUAAGUCCCGCAACGAGCGCAACCCUUGAUCUUAGUUGCCAGCAUUCAGUUGGGCACUCUAAGGUGACUGCCGGUGACAAACCGGAGGAAGGUGGGGAUGACGUCAAAUCAUCAUGCCCCUUAUGACCUGGGCU
rnacentral:rRNA from 2 species